CUACGGGUGGCUGCAGUGGGGAAUCUUAGACAAUGGGCGCAAGCCUGAUCUAGCCAUGCCGCGUGAGUGAUGAAGGCCUUAGGGUCGUAAAGCUCUUUCGCUGGGGAAGAUAAUGACGGUACCCAGUAAAGAAACCCCGGCUAACUCCGUGCCAGCAGCCGCGGUAAUACGGAGGGGGUUAGCGUUGUUCGGAAUUACUGGGCGUAAAGCGCGCGUAGGCGGACUGUUAAGUCGGGGGUGAAAUCCCGGGGCUCAACCCCGGAACGGCCUUCGAUACUGGCAGUCUGGAGUUCGAGAGAGGUGAGUGGAAUUCCGAGUGUAGAGGUGAAAUUCGUAGAUAUUCGGAGGAACACCAGUGGCGAAGGCGGCUCACUGGCUCGAUACUGACGCUGAGGUGCGAAAGUGUGGGGAGCAAACAGGAUUAGAUACCCCCGUAGUC
rnacentral:rRNA from 1 species